rnacentral:rRNA from 1 species
GAUGAACGCUGGCGGCAUGCUUAACACAUGCCAGUCGGACGGGAAGUGGUGUUUCCAGUGGCGUUCGGGUGAGUACCGCGUAAGAACCUGCCCUUGGGAGGGGAACAACAGCUGGAAACGGCUGCUAAUACCCCGUAGUCUGGGUAGCAAAACGUGGAAUCCGCUCGAGGAGGGGCUUGCGUUUGAUUCGCUAGUUGGUGGGGCAAUAGCUUACCAAGGCGGUGAACAGUAGCUGGUCCGAGAGGAUGAUCGGCCACACUGGGACUGAGACACGGACCAGACUACAACGGGAGGCAGCAGUGGGGAAUAUUCAGCAAUGGGCGAAAGCCUGACGGGGCAAUGCGGCGUGGAGGUAGAAGGCCCACGGGUGGUGAACUGCUUUUUCCGGAGAAGAAGCAAUGACGGUAUCUGGGGAAUAAGCAUCGGCUAACUCUGUG